AUCUUUGCGAUCACCGAGUCCAAGCUGUGCCCGAUGCCCGCCUUGUCCCCAGCCCAGAGCCCUGAGUGCCACCUCCAGGCCUCGGACACCUCCAGGGAUGGGCAUUCCAAACCUCCCCGGGCAGUUCCGAGGCCUGAGCGCCCUUUCCAUGAGGAAAUUCCCGCUGGUGUCCAACGCGAGCCUCCCCUGGCCCAGCCUGAGGCCGUUCCCUCUCCUCCUGUCCCUGUUCCUGGCAGCAGAGCUCCACCCUGAGCCACCCUGUGCCCCCUCUGGUGUUCCCUGUGACCCUCCAGGUGUGUCCCCAUAUUCCCUGAGACCCUCACCUGACCUCAGGUCCCCCAUCCCGGGCAGAGGGGACACUCCUGGGAGAGCCCCGAGCUCUGUGCCUGAGGCAAAGCUCCACCAAGAGGGAAAUAAAUCCAUAACUUUUAUUUC